AUUGAACGCUGGCGGCAGGCUUAACACAUGCAAGUCGAGCGGGGUGAUGGUGCUUGCACUAUCACUUAGCGGCGGACGGGUGAGCAAUGCUUAGGAAUCUGCCUAUUAGUGGGGGAUAACAUCUCGAAAGGGAUGCUAAUACCGCAUACGUCCUACGGGAGAAAGCAGGGGAUCACUUGUGACCUUGCGCUAAUAGAUGAGCCUAAGUCGGAUUAGCUAGUUGGUGGGGUAAAGGCCUACCAAGGCGACGAUCUGUAGCGGGUCUGAGAGGAUGAUCCGCCACACUGGGACUGAGACACGGCCCAGACUCCUACGGGAGGCAGCAGUGGGGAAUAUUGGACAAUGGGGGGAACCCUGAUCCAGCCAUGCCGCGUGUGUGAAGAAGGCCUUAUGGUUGUAAAGCACUUUAAGCGAGGAGGAGGCUCUUUUGGUUAAUACCCAAGAUGAGUGGACGUUACUCGCAGAAUAAGCACCGGCUAACUCUGUGCCAGCAGCCGCAGUAA
rnacentral:rRNA from 1 species